CUAUCAUCCAGAAAGGUGGAGGGAGUGGCCCUGAGAAGCCUUGGCAACCGUCAGUAGUGAUUGGUGCCAAUUCCAACCCGGACAAGCAGUGCGGGGAAGAUGAUUG
rnacentral:ncRNA from 20 species